CAAGAAACACAAAGAAUGGACAGCAAGUCU
rnacentral:piRNA from 1 species